GGCGAAAGCCUGAUCCAGCCAUGCCGCGUGUGUGAAGAAGGUCUUCGGAUUGUAAAGCACUUUAAGUUGGGAGGAAGGGUGGUAACUUAAUACGUUGCUACUUUGACGUUACCGACAGAAUAAGCACCGGCUAACUUCGUGCCAGCAGCCGCGGUAAUACGAAGGGUGCAAGCGUUAAUCGGAAUUACUGGGCGUAAAGCGCGCGUAGGUGGUUCAGUAAGUUGGAAGUGAAAUCCCCGGGCUCAACCUGGGAACUGCUUUCAAAACUGCUGAGCUAGAGUACGGUAGAGGGUAGUGGAAUUUCCUGUGUAGCGGUGAAAUGCGUAGAUAUAGGAAGGAACACCAGUGGCGAAGGCGACUACCUGGACUGAUACUGACACUGAGGUGCGAAAGCGUGGGGAGCAAACAGGAUUAGAUACCCUGGUAGUCCACGCCGUAAACGAUGUCAACUAGCCGUUGGGAGUCUUGAACUCUUAGUGGCGCAGCUAACGCAUUAAGUUGACCGCCUGG
rnacentral:rRNA from 1 species